CAAAAACCCACAGUGUUGCAGAAUAAUUUAAAAAUAACGGGAUUAUCGCUGCCCAGGCCUCUUCGGGUCCUUUUCAGCCAGAUUUUAAACUAGCUGGUGCUGGCUUCAGGAGAACAUGGUUUUCUGUCCUGGUGGAGCUGAGCAUUGAAAACUAACAUUGAGCAUUGAUGGACGGUGUAACUGUUUCCAUACUGCAGAUGUGCUCUUCAUCUGAUGAAAUAAAGAAAAGGAGAGGGCCCAUUCACACCAAAGCCUGAUUAUCAAGAAGGUUCUGGCAGGAUGACACAUACGACAGCUGCAGCAGCAAAACAUGAAUCCAAAGGCUUGGAAAGCAACAAUAAAGAGGAAAAAAUGCAAUACUAAGGAAAAGAAGACAUGAUAUUAGAAGCAGCAUGAAGAAAUGCAGCUUUAAGAGCUGGAGAGCUGCAGAGACGUCAUCUGUAGAGGCACCUAAAGAAAAUGGAGAAGAGUGCAGUAUGGUGUGUCCAUUCUCAAGUUGGCAUCAUGAAACACUGGAGAUGUCAAACAAUAAGACAACACUCAUUGUGUCAAUGACCGGCCAUUGAAAAGUCUGUGAGCUAUGGAAGGCAGGCAGGUUUUUUCCUCAGAGGAUCUCAUGGUCCGUUUUGUGGAACAAGAAGAGUUCCCUCAAAUGACAGCAUUCCUCGACAGACAGGCGUUGGAAGAGUGCCUGCCUAUCUAUUUUACUGGAUGGAUUGGAGAAUGGUCCCAUACUCAGCUGGGAGGCCCUUAAAGAAGAACAACACAGAUGAAUGUGCGUCCUGGCCAGAAAUUCCAGCCUGUUGUGGAUGCUGGAUGACGUGACACUGUAUGAACCCCGCAUGGCUUACAAUCUUACGCUGGCCACUUGCUUCUUGUCAGUCGGGGUAUUCCCACCCUCUUGUGGAUGCUGGACAAUAUUACGCCCGGGCAUGGAUGCAGACGUCAGUCAGAUGGAUUUCUUAUCACUUUAUGCAUAUAGAGAUAUACUCAUAAUAUCCACAAAAGAUAACAUGAGAAAUAGAUGCACACCAAAACUAUAAUUACACAAUUCUAAAAGGUCUGUUAUUGCAAACACCGAAACAAAAAUCAAUAAAAGUGAAAACUGGUAAUAACUGGGGUUAUCGCUGGCUUUUAUUU